UUAACUUAUUAUAUAGUACUCAGACGACACUAAACACAAGAGUUGGGGUCCUCUGGCAGGCGCUCCCCAGCAAAGAGCCGGGGGCCCGAAGGCGGCCUGCCAAAGCAACAAGAGUAAAUUAUACAGGGUGGGAGGUCUGCCCCGGAGGGCAUAUCUCUGUAAUGAUCCUUCCGCUGGUUCACCAACGGAAA
rnacentral:misc_RNA from 1 species